CAUUUAUAUGAGUGAGUGAUCCUAGGGCCAAUUGAAGUGUAUCUUUAUUGGCUAUAGCACAGACUCAAAAGCAUACAAGUUGUACAAUCCAGAAACAAAGAAAGUAAUCAUCAGCAGAGAUGUGACAUUCGACGAGAAAGACAUGUGGGACUAUAACAAAAAAGAUAGAAAAGCAGCUAACUAUCAUUCCAAAUACAUGUGAUAAAGUAGAAGAAAAGCAACCUGACACA